rnacentral:sRNA from 1 species
UAAAAUUAACGAUCACGCCAAAAAAAUACAAGAUUUGGAAAGGCGUAUAGCUUUAAUAAAAGUAAAACUGAGGAUAUCGACUUUUGCUUCACCAUCCCAGUUCGGUCGAAUAUACCCAUCGCAUAUCGGGAAACAGACAUAUAACCUAACAUUCCCUUUAUUUCCAUAUGCAAACAGCGAUUAAUCUUUCCAACUUCCGGCCAUUCGUGAAAUUAUACCAGAUAAAGCGAAUCUGCACAUGAGGAAAACUCCGAAUAAACAUUAAUCUAAACGCUGUAUUGAGGGGCGGAGCAGUAAAAUGCUAAGUUUGUCGGAUAUAUGCAUACCACCUAAUAAAUUUCACGCUGCGACAACUCCAAAAAAAACUCGGAUUAAAAAGGAAAAUAGUUCCAAACCGGCGAAAAUUUGUAACAAGGAUAUUCGCUACACACGAAAUCACCCGAACGUAAUCGAAUAAUAAAAUCACCCAACUUUUGUCAACUUCUUUAUUAAAUUAAACAAUUCAGUAUUUACGUUUGUUUUUCGCAAAUGGGUACAGCAAAUUCUCAAAAUAGGAUUUUCUUCAAAAAACGUCGGCAAAUCAAAUGUAAUUAAGCUCCCUAAACCCGAAUUAAAACGGCAUAAUUGUUUUACCCGCAUGUUCUUAAUAAAAACGUCUUCCUUCCCAAAUAUUGCAAAACGAAAUUAAACACAAAAUAUUAUAUAAUUUCAAAACUUUUGUAGGUUUUUUUGUAAUAAAAAAAUUACUGUGCAAUCGCCAAUUUCCCCUAACCAUCGCCAAAAGUGCCAAAUGUAAAGGAAAGCAAUCGCCCGAAGGCAAUUAGUUUUGGUCCGGGCGCUACCAGCCAGUUUCAUAGCAGGGAAUUUUAACCGUGCGGAUGCUCUAACAAUAUAUUACCGAAUUUGCCAUCCCAAAGCCGUUGGAUCACGUACAAUACCAACAAAAAGGUUUACUGCGGCGCCCAAAUACGUAUCAGACGUAAUGCGUCCUUCCGUCGCCCAGCCGCGUUCUUAGGUGACGAGGAAUUUUCCCCAAAAGCGGAAUUUGUAAAUAUUAGCUCCAAGCAAAAAAACACAUGUGUAGGACUUUUAUGCGAGGAAACAAAUCAAAAGCCGGUCAUCAUUUAAUUUCCCGAGACGACCGGAUCCUAAUUUUAAGGCAGCAGCAAUGUACGCGUAUAAUAUUUAAAAGCCCAGGUAUUGGGAAAUUGCGGAAUCCUUAUAUGCAUUUAUUAUACUUUUUCAAUAUAAACAAUAAUAUGCGGUGGAUUUGUAUAAAGCGACGAAUGGUUUGAUUUUCAGAUAAAAUCAUCGAUUUAUCAAACCUGUUUUUUCCAUCCAUUAAAUACACACCCACUAUCCAACCCUUGUCUCAAUUUCUGUCCCACCAUAAUUUCAGCGGAUUUUAACCUCCGCGACACGCAAAUAUAUAACAUACUCCUAACCCCAAUUGACAUAAACUAAUAUGCUCCUUUAAACAUUUAUAAAAUGAAAUUAUUUAAUACAGGAUGGCCAUAAUUAGAAAAACAUCCGGUUUUGACAUCUGUCCCUUAACUUUCCGCGGCGCUGAAUUCAAUGCGAAUGUAAUUUACUUUACUUAUUCUGUUCACCCGAAUUAUCUCUUGGCGUUUAACAUCGUUAAUUGCUGGAAAAAUAACUAGACUGCUAGCAAAAAUUUUAAUAAAAAAUAACUGCUAAAAUGCAUUGUAGGUUUGAAAAUAAUAUCGAAAAGUCCUCGAUUCAUACCCCAAUAUAAUUGCGCCGUGUAAUCAAACAGUUCGUUACCACCAGUUUUCGGAGGGAUUUAAAUAACAACCAAAAAAGCACACGCAAUAAUGCGCAAAACCCCGUAUAUUCGGGACAGGCUUUGGAUUUCCCACAUAAUCUGGUCAUUUUGCGGUAUUAUAUAAACCCACGCAUUUUCGAGCAAAGCUGGUAAUUUGAAUAAAAACAGGGCCAAUAUGCGACCCGCAGGGUUUUAGUUUAUAUUGGACGCGAUGGAUGGAAUACACACCCCCGGAAAUUGAAAAAAAAAAUUGAAAAAAUAAAGAGAAAGGUACUUAUUUUUUUGCUCGAGGUAUUCCGUAAAUGGGAUUUAACUCCUUAUUCCGGUCACAAUGUUUGUCGCCCUGUUAUUUGUCGCUAUACUGUGUUAUACUGUGUUACGCAUAUAUACGGAAAAAUUAAUAACCAACGCGGCUUUUCCGGCAGCUGGAGGCCCUUUACAAUAAGGAAUGAGGCAAGCGGGAUUGGGAGGGUGGGCAACUUUUCGUGUCGGGGUACAGAGAGACAACCUACCCACAUUUUUGUGGUCCUGUUAGCGCAAUAUUUGGGAACGGAGGCGUUAGGGAAUUUCGAGGUAACGAGGCAAGGAAUUAGCGCCCAAAAUAUUUGGUUGCAAAUAAUUACACUGUAACCUUUCCGCCGUGGAAAAACCAAUGGCGCUCGUGCCCAACUGGCCCACAAACAUAAGGUCGGUGUGAUGUAAAGCAGCUGGACGCUAUCUAUCCCUAUUGGCCUUUGGUGCAAACGAUCCAAAAAUAAACUGUAAUUGCCUGUUGCUGCCUAAUGGAUUGGCGCCAGGAGGAUUUUUGACUUUUCAGCUUUUGAAGGACGUGUAUGGCGUUUUAAUAGGGGCACGCUUACUUUUUCGCACGCCCACGAGUGGCCCCAGGUAAAGUAAUCUUCCUUACAACUAGCAAACCCUUGUUAUAAUUACAACCCGACUUAUGGAUUAUUUAGAGCAAUUGCGGCACCCAUUUAUCGGUUUUUGUUUAUUCUUUAAAAAACUUGUUCUCUCUUCCUUCAAACAUUAUAUUAUCCCUAAAUUAAAUUUGCUAUUAUUAGCGGAAAAACCGCAAAACUCUCUAUUGGAAUCCAAAAUAUGGUCGACCAACCCACACGUCUCCCCUCACAAUAUAUGGAUAUCCCGAGCUCCUUAUCUGCGCAUUUAACGAAAUAUACGGCGAGUAAAUUGCGAUGUGACAAUAAUUAGCAACGUUUACAAUAUCACCAGCAAGGCGAGUUAUAUAAAUAUUGUAAAUACACCACACCUGCAUAUUUGUUUAAUUUUUAACCGCCUACAAACUUACCUAUAACAGAAAGCUGUUGCAUCUUUUUACAAAAAAAAAGCCGAGCUAAACAAAGCCGUUUAUCAGGCAAAACAGUCGUACUUACAUACAAGGUUUACCCCCUUCAUCAAAAACCUACAUGUUUGCAAGGACGCGUUCCCUCAACCUUUUAUCGACACAAAAACCGACACAAUCAACCAAUAUCACGGUCGCUAAUCGGCCGGGUUUAUUAAUAUUUUGUAAAAUGUAAAGGCCAUUAAAUCAACACACACAUCACGGAUAAUUGUCCAUAUCUCUAUACUGCCUUUAAUCCGCACAAAAGAAACUUUCCAACGUGCCCAUAGAAUUUUUUACAAAUACGCUCCUCGAAUUUGUUAUGGAAAUUGGUUGACAUGGAACUUUUAAUGGAUAGCGUAACGGAAAUUUUGGCCUGAGCAAAUUUCAUGCGCCCAUACGUCGGGUAAACAACGAAAUUAAAAUGUGCUGGGGUGCACACGUUACCAUACGUACUCUGCUGUUAACCUAUUCAUUUCACCCUUAGAUACAGCAAUUUAGGCUAAUAUACCAAAGCUUUUGUACCAAUGGAAGACAGGCAAUUAUUAACGAGGGCAGCAAAUUGUUAUUUUCAAACAACGAAACCAAAGUGUGCUGGGUGCAAAUUUUACCAUGUUUACUCUGCUGUCAACCUGUUCACUUCGCCCUUAGAUACAGCAGUGUAUGCUGACAUACCAAGGCUUUUAUACCUAUGGGAAACAGGCAAUUAAUAACGGAGGUAUGGCAUUGUUUUUUUCGUACACCCUUGGCCUCAGCUUAUAUCGUUAUACUAUUUAUUUGCAAACAUAAAUGAAAUUCUCCUAAUCUUUCCAGGUCUUCAUUUUUGUGGCGGUUGUAAUCAUAAUAAACUUAUGCGGUUGUGGCCGAAAUAAUUUCGACCGAAUGCAUGAAAUUAUCAAAGUUGUUACAAAUCGUAGGGAUUACCGCAAUCUGAUGCGUAGGGGAAUUUGAUGUGGAUUGGUUUAAAUAUAUAAUGUAAUGGCGUCCCUGUAAAUUGGGUUAUACUGAGCGGAAACCAAACACACACCACCAUAAUAUGUUGUAAACCAGGGUAAUUAUAAACCUAGAAAAUUAUUUUUAGCAAUAUUCUCAGACAAACAAUUGACACAAAGCUAGGUCGUUUGGGAGCUAUAACUUUUUUUUUUGUCCCUGUGCCAAUCCUUUUUGGGUACUUCCAUGGCCUGAUUAAAUUUUGCGCCGGUCCUAUUUUGUAUAAGGUAGGAAAAUCCCUCGCUCGCUCUAUAAAGGUCCGCCGAUUUUCUAACGCGAAAGGGACGCUGUAAAUCUUUUGGGGAAGGCAAAAUAAUGGCCAAAAUAGCAUCGUCCGACGCCAGGCAUAUUUUGCAAAGCACAAUCGCGAGAUUUCAACACCCACCCCCAAACAUGUUAAUUGUAAAGCAAUAUCGGGCAAAGAUUAUCAAUGGUUAAAAUAAGAUGUGGCCUGUGCUUUUAACGUUUAUUUCUGGGAAGUUCAAUAUUGUGGGCCUUGUGGGCGUUACCGACUUUGGUAACUGUGACAACAAAGAAUAGAUAAUAUAAUCAAAUCCCGCCAAGGAUAUACCCGUGUCGCAAAUGGUGUCUUGUUAACCUUGUUACUAUUCCAUACAUUAUUAGAUUUUAACCAUUGACCUAAACCAUUUAAACCAUGGAUUCCAAAAAAAUUAGGCGUUAUCAACCAGAAAUUUCAAUUAUUUAUCUGGAAGGCGGACAAGUUGCAAUACGUAUAUUUUUGAUAUUGGCAGGUUGAAUUUUUGCAACAUGGCAGGAUUCGUAAAAAAACACGAUGGCAUUAUACCAAAAUUUAAACAAAUUACCGAUUGCAGCGAUACCAUCAAAGUGCGACCUGGCAAAGGAGGUACCAGCUUACAAAAGCGAUCCUAAAUUUAUCGCAUUGUAACAAAAAAAACUGUAUUCGAUACACAAAUAUUAAAAACAGCUCACAAUUCCAGAAAUAAAAUUAGGAAAUGAUUCAGUCAAGGCCUUCUACGUCGUACAGUUCAAUUCCUAACAUGACCAAAACUAGCACAUUUUGCAGGCGAAGCAAAUUGUAUUUAAUUAAUUUGGAAAUGUAAUUUGAAAAGAAAAAUCGUAACUGUUUUGACGACCGCCGAUACGCUGCUGUUUCAAAGGGGCUUACCCAGGACGGUAAUACCUAAUCAUACCUUACUAUAUCAAACGGAGGUUCUGAAUCCACACCAAAAGACGGUGGGAAAAACUAGGGCCCUGGGUACCUAAUGCGGAGGCGAAGCAUUAUAUCCAAUCGUUUAGUAGUUUGACGCUUUGGGAAACCGUUUCUGCGAUUUAGAAACUUAGACCAGAAGCGAGGAACGUGCGAUACGGUGCGGUUGAGAGGGUGCAGUCGAUCCCGGGCGCUCUGCAAGGGGAGGAACUCUCUCUAUCUAUGGAGCUACCUUUAACAAUCACGGUUAUAAUAUAACUUAUAUAAUCUGCGGAGUAACAUAAUGUUUGGUUCCGUCCAAAUUUCGCUAAAAUAGCCGUUAUUGCCGAAAAUAUGUGCGGUUCCUCCAUUCGAUCCUUUUCAAAUAUAGGAGUUGGCAAAAUAUCCAUUUCGUCACAAAUAAAUACAUCGCCUAAAACGUAUUGGCUUUUGGUAUUUACCGUUUCUGCUGCCUGCAACCUUUUAUGGUCCUAAUAUUUAUUAAAGCGGUUAGCGAUUUGGGUUAUCUCUCCGGAAUUCGAACAAAAAAAGUUGCAAUAUUUAAAUAUAUUAUACAGUCGGUUGGAAAAUCCAAUUGGACAAGGAUUAGAAAACAGCGCAUAAUUGCAAUUACAAAGGGUUGCAUGUUACAUUGUAACCAAAGCCCAGAAAAAAGGAGGCCUUUAAACUUUGCUUACGGAUGUAAAGUGCCACAGGUCUGUUUAUCUUACAACCGUUUCAGCUCGUCGAUCGGUCACAAGUUAUAUGGGCGAGAAGCGGCGCAGGGGGGGGGGGGGGGGUUUUGGUACCAUUGGCUUACACGUAGCCGCGGAGCCUUCCGGUAUGCUUUUUCGAGGGGCUGGUUACCUUGGAAAUCCUCCUAUGCGUUAUAAAUUGUCCGUGUCGGAGGCCCCAGAGGUAGCAGGUAAUUAUUACCUUGCUUCCUAGUCACCUGACCAUUGCCACAUUGCCUUUUUGGAUGCGUACAACCGAUUUGAUUUAAACCCCUCGAAAUCCUGACCGGGAUGGGAAAAAAACCGUUUCGGCCUCCCGCAAAUAAACAUUGAGGUAUUAGGAGAAAUACAAAUAUAAACAGCAUGGAUUAAAUAAAAUUACGAGAAACAAUUACUUCCAUAUUUUCCUAGCAACUUCCCGUCAAAAAAACAGUUUAGGUCCAUGGUCGUAUAUUAAGGUAAACGGCCAUGGAUAAUAUCUUAAUAUUAGGAAUUAGUCAAAUCUCGGGGCCAAAUUAUAUUUCUAACAACCACUUAUGGUAGAAGGCUGCUAUUAAAGGGUAACGUUUGUGCAAAAAAUCUUUUUAUUACUUUUUUAAAAGCGAGCUGUAGCUCGGACUGCUCGAUAAUAUUGGGUAGGCAAAUGGGGGACUAAAAAAAAAAUUGCGAAACUGGGCGAACGUGACCAAAAAUUACCAAACCAAACUCCCAACUCGACAUUUUUAAAAGCAAACGGCUUUUUACACGGACAGGUCUUAAAAUUCGAAAGUUUUAUCGGUUUCACCGUCGGGAUAUUAAAGGAACGAAGCUUUUUGUGGUUCAUUUUUGCCAUAAACUGUAAUUAGUUGCGGUAACUGUUUGCAGUCCCUUUUGCUUAUUUCCCAUUUGGCAGGGUAUAUUUCCCUUUGGGGGAACAUAAAACGGAGGGUAAAAUAUAGCGAAGGCUCACAAAUCACAAAAUCAUGGUUUCAUCUUCGGCCACUUUUGGGCCCACAAAUGCGGGUAAAAUAACAACACUUGUUUCUCGGGGCUGGUAAACAUAAGAUCGAUGUGACAAAUAGCUCCACAUAUGGGAUAAAAAUGCAAAUUAUAAUCCUGUAAAAUCCUAAAUAAAGCAAGCACACAUUUAACAUAUUUGCGUAGGUUAAUUGGACACGACUGCCUUUUACGCUUAUCGAACCCAUAAAGUUUUCGGGCUGAUACCAGGCGUUAGCGGGGCUCCAUCUCCAUAAAUCCAAAUGUUUGCCUUUUUUUUACAAUUUAAAUUGGGCGAACCAGAACGGCGGCCACAUAUAUAAAAAGGAAGUUUCAACAAAGUAAAAUGUCCUAAAUAAUCCAAAAUUCCAAACUGGCAGAUAUUGGCAUCGAAACUAUUAGGCCCACCAAACUGCUGCCCUACCUUUUAUAUUUAUAUAAUUUGGUUAACGUCCCUAAAUUUAUUAUUACCCCCAAUAUU